rnacentral:rRNA from 1 species
AACGAACGCUGGCGGCGUGGAUAAGACAUGCAAGUCGAACGCUGAUCUGUUGGUAGCAAUAUCGGCAGGUCGGAGUGGCGCAAGGGUGCGUAACACGUGGGCAAUCUACCGCAAAGACCGGAAUAACCUGCUGAAAAGUGGGCUAAUGCCGGAUGUGGUUUUCGGGGGGCAUCCUCUGAAACCCAAAGUUGGGGACCGUAAGGCCUGACACUUUGCGAUGAGCCCGCGGCCUAUCAGCUAGUUGGCGAGGUAAAGGCUCACCAAGGCUAAGACGGGUAGCUGGUCUGAGAGGACGACCAGCCACACUGGAACUGAGACACGGUCCAGACACCUACGGGUGGCAGCAGUCGAGAAUUUUUCACAAUGGGGGAAACCCUGAUGUAGCGACGCCGCGUGGGGGAUGAAGGGCUUCGGCUCGUAAACCCCUGUCAUUCGCGAAUAAUUGCUGUGGCCUAACACGUCACGGUUUGGUAGUAGCGGAAGAGGAAGGGACGGGCUAACUCUGUGCCAGCAGCCGCGG